GAGUUAGUUAUGAAUUAAGAAGAGAAAUUGAUCAAAUCGGAAAAUAAAAUGAAGUUACAUCACUUCCGUCAUGAAGUUGCAACGCUCCGACGAAAGGUGGUGUACGAGCAGAGCGGAGUGAAGUCGGGAGUCACUACAGAGUCGUCGUGUCGAGCGGACGUGCACUGCCGUUCUAGUCGGGCGGUCUACCGCGAACCAUCGUCUUGAGCGGACGUGUCGAAUAAUUACGAUCGGAACGUGGAGUGCUAUAGUCGCUCACCUAUAACUUGUAGGGACGUCAAGAAAGUGUGAUCGGAAAAGAGCACCUAGCAAGUACGUUCACAUGUCCCGAUGAUUCGGUCCGAAUGUUGGAACCAUGGGUGGUGGAGGGCCCCUUCGCGCUAACGUCCUUAUGCGCGCUAGAUAACGAGAGACUGUGUAACCGUUACGAAUACCGUGACGUUGCCGUGAGUGUGUACCUUAUGCUGUGACUUUAUUUAAUCGUGAUACAAAAACUAUGUGGAAGUAAAUAAAAUGAUUGUGAUACUGAUGACGGCCAUUAUUGUCUUGUAACGCCCACCCAUCCCUUCUGACAUCACACCACUUUUACGACAUCAGAAGUGGGAUUAGUGAACUUGGAUGAAGACAAUGUGAUGCGACGUUCACAACAAGACAAUGUAAGUUUGGAUUAUCACAAUCAGAAGAAGAUUAUGAUGACUAUCACAUUCGUGUGUCCACGUGAUGAAGAUGUAGUGUCCAUCCAUGACUGAAUUUGAAAAUGGACCUGAAUUUGAAAUGAACCUUGCCAAUGAUCGGCAUCACUACAUGCCGUAAGAUAUGAUGGCGUGAACAUCAACAAUAUUUCCAUAAUGUGUGCAGUCGUGUUUGGAAAUUAUGGUACCUCAACUUGGAAACUGUUAUUACGGUGAGUCGUUUUCAUACUGGAUCCUUUAUUGCUGGGUGAAUUUCCGUUUCUAGUAAUGAGGAAAAUUGCUUUUUUUUAAAAACCAAAUUGGCGAGACAUAUUGUGUCAAUCUGUGUCAAUCAUACCGCGUUUUCCAAUCUGUUUUCAUCAUUGUCAAAUCUUUGUAUUUUGGUCUAAAAAUAUUUCGAAUUGGUGUAGACACGCUUGACCUGCGUGGUUAAAGUUGUAUUUUCUCACUCCAAGCAAAAAGAAAUUAAUCAUGACAUGAUAAUUGAGUCUCGUUAAAUAACGUGUUUUGUAAUCUACCGUCAUUCAUCAAAUGUUUCAAUAUUCAAUAUUCUUUAUUUGUAAUCUUUUUAAACCGAUUGAAAGAAAGUCAUGUGAAUACGAUAAUACAGUGAAUUCUUUUGUUUCAUGUCAUAACUUGCCACGUGGUUCGGCAACUGGUGGAUUGCUAGCGGCGAUGUAAGUGGUGCGGCCUGAGCUGUAGCCGUGCAGUGACGUCAUCAUGGCAGCACGUUGUAUUAUACCAGUCGGACUUGCUGCGCUGGUGAAGACCUAAACCAUGUCACAAGACCAGUGGUUGAUCUUUUAUUGGAAAUUCUUAUAAGUCCUGGUGAGUCUUAUCUGUUUUACCUGAUUUGAAAUAUGGGAAGUUUUAAUAGGAUACAAACGAAUGUAGUGCAGAAAGUUGUCUUUUGUUAACUUUAGUUAAAUUGGAAAUCGUAAUGAAGUGAAGUAAACAUUGCGAAGUAAAAUGAUUUGGAUUAUGAUUAAAUGAAAUAGGCUUAGAAAAUGCCCGAAACAGAGUAAAUCAUUAGUGAGAAAAUUGGAGCAAAACAUUCUAAAUGAUGAUCAUACCGAAUCAGUAAUUGUGUAAGUGCGGUAAUAUUUCCUCGAGGUGUUGGUCGCUACAUUGUGACUUUAUGACUUGUGUGUGUGAGAGCAGGGUGCUCUGUCGUUUUGUGGUCGUGGACCAUGGUGGCCAUCCCGGGAGGGGAUGUUGUGACUCAUGACUGUUUUGUAGCGUAACCGCAGUUGGGGGAGGAAUAUUACAGCCUGUUGUGCUUUGCAGUAGAUGUGUAAUGUUGGUUGAUUUAAUUGAGCAAUGACAGCUAUGAUUGACCUGUUUCGGAGCAACUCUGAUAGGAAGCUGCGCACUUGUAGUGUUCGGGGCUGCAGCCACUUUUGUGCUGCUCGUCUUAGAAACUACAGGUAUGCGGUCGAGGCCUGGAUGUCAUGUUGACUUUGUAUUUGGUCAUGACAUUGUACCUGAAUCUAAGUCAAGUUGACCUCCGGUAGAAUUAGUCGAACUGCGCAAAUUAGAAAUUAGUGAUAUAAAAGAAAUUGUGUAACGCAUUGACCACUAUUCUACCAACUAAAAUGUAAAGUUUGUGUGCUAGCUGUGUUGAGAUAUCGUCACUUGGUGUAAGUGGCAUGAGUUGCUGUCGCUCGAUUUAGGUGGCAGCAACGACUGUGUUGAGAUAUCGUCACUUGGUGUAAGUGGCAUGAGUUGCUACCGCUCGAUUUAGGUGGUAGUGACGCCUGGUUGUGAGAUAUCGUCACUUGGUGUAAGUGGCAUGAGUUGCUACCGCUCGAUUUAGGUGGUAGUGACGCCUGGUUGUGAGAUAUCGUCACUCAGUAGAGUGGCAUGAGUUGCUACCGCUCGAUUUAGGUGGUAGUGACGCCUGGUUUUGAGAUAUCGUCGCUCAGUAGAGUGGCAUGAGUUACUAUCGCUCGUUUAGGUGAUAGUAACGACAGACGUGUAAAGAGUAAUUGGAUUUUCAUGUUUGGUUGUUUAUAGUGUGUGAAUACUGGUCAAUGGUCCGUGUAUUGUUAGUUGAUGAUUUAUCAUGAUGUCAUGAGAGCUCGUGUAGAGUCACAAGUAGAGCUCGUGUAGAGUCACAAGUAGAGCUCGUGUAGAGUCACAAGUAGAGCUCGUGUAGAGUCACAAGUAGAGCUCGUGUAGAGUCACAAGUAGAGCUCGUGUAGAGUCACAAGUAGAGUCACAAGUAGAGCUCGUGUAGAGUCACAAGUAGAGCUCUUGUAGAGUCACAAGUAGAGCUCUUGUAGAGUCACAAGUAGAGCUCGUGUAGAGUCACAAGUAGAGUCUCAUGUUGGUCAGGAAUGACCGAGCGAACUUGGAUACUGUGCUGUGGUAUGUUGUUUCAGAUUAACACACGAGGACGUGUGUCGCGCAGGAUGGCCGUGUCGGAGUUAGUUAUGAAUUAAGAAGAGAAAUUGAUCAAAUCGGAAAAUAAAAUGAAGUUACAUCACUUCCGUCAUGAAGUUGCAACGCUCCGACGAAAGGUGGUGUACGAGCAGAGCGGAGUGAAGUCGGGAGUCACUACAGAGUCGUCGUGUCGAGCGGACGUGCACUGCCGUUCUAGUCGGGCGGUCUACCGCGAACCAUCGUCUUGAGCGGACGUGUCGAAUAAUUACGAUCGGAACGUGGAGUGCUAUAGUCGCUCACCUAUAACUUGUAGGGACGUCAAGAAAGUGUGAUCGGAAAAGAGCACCUAGCAAGUACGUUCACAUGUCCCGAUGAUUCGGUCCGAAUGUUGGAACCAUGGGUGGUGGAGGGCCCCUUCGCGCUAACGUCCUUAUGCGCGCUAGAUAACGAGAGACUGUGUAACCGUUACGAAUACCGUGACGUUGCCGUGAGUGUGUACCUUAUGCUGUGACUUUAUUUAAUCGUGAUACAAAAACUAUGUGGAAGUAAAUAAAAUGAUUGUGAUACUGA
rnacentral:lncRNA from 1 species